rnacentral:rRNA from 1 species
CCUACGGGCAGCAGCAGUGAGGAAUAUUGGUCAAUGGGCGGGAGCCUGAACCAGCCAAGCCGCGUGAGGGAAGAAGGUACAGCGUAUCGUAAACCUCUUUUGUCAGGGAACAAAGGCGGGGACUAGUCCCCGGAUGAGGGUACCUGAAGAAAAAGCAUCGGCAAACUCCGUGCCAGCAGCCGCGGUAAUACGGAGGAUGCGAGCGUUAUCCGGAUUGAUUGGGUUUAAAGGGUGCGCAGGCGGCCUGUUAAGUCAGCGGUAAAAGCCCGGGGCUCAACCCCGGCGAGCCGUUGAAACUGGCGGGCUGGAGUUGGAGAGAAGUACGCGGAAUGCGCGGUGUAGCGGUGAAAUGCUUAGAUAUCGCGCAGAACCCCGAUUGCGAAGGCAGCGUACCGGCUCCACACUGACGCUGAGGCACGAAAGCGUGGGUAUCGAACAGGAUUAGAUACCCCUGUAGUC